GAUAACGGCGUCGAGCGGCGGACGGGUGAGUAAUGCCUAGGAAAUUGCCCUGAUGUGGGGGAUAACCAUUGGAAACGAUGGCUAAUACCGCAUGAUGCCUACGGGCCAAAGAGGGGGACCUUCGGGCCUCUCGCGUCAGGAUAUGCCUAGGUGGGAUUAGCUAGUUGGUGAGGUAAGGGCUCACCAAGGCGACGAUCCCUAGCUGGUCUGAGAGGAUGAUCAGCCACACUGGAACUGAGACACGGUCCAGACUCCUACGGGAGGCAGCAGUGGGGAAUAUUGCACAAUGGGCGCAAGCCUGAUGCAGCCAUGCCGCGUGUGUGAAGAAGGCCUUCGGGUUGUAAAGCACUUUCAGUCGUGAGGAAGGUGGUGUAGUUAAUAGCUGCAUUAUUUGACGUUAGCGACAGAAGAAGCACCGGCUAACUCCGUGCCAGCAGCCGCGGUAAUACGGAGGGUGCGAGCGUUAAUCGGAAUUACUGGGCGUAAAGCGCAUGCAGGUGGUUUGUUAAGUCAGAUGUGAAAGCCCGGGGCUCAACCUCGGAAUAGCAUUUGAAACUGGCAGACUAGAGUACUGUAGAGGGGGGUAGAAUUUCAGGUGUAGCGGUGAAAUGCGUAGAGAUCUGAAGGAAUACCGGUGGCGAAGGCGGCCCCCUGGACAGAUACUGACACUCAGAUGCGAAAGCGUGGGGAGCAAACAGGAUUAGAUACCCUGGUAGUCCACGCCGUAAACGAUGUCUACUUGGAGGUUGUGGCCUUGAGCCGUGGCUUUCGGAGCUAACGCGUUAAGUAGACCGCCUGGGGAGUACGGUCGCAAGAUUAAAACUCAAAUGAAUUGACGGGGGCCCGCACAAGCGGUGGAGCAUGUGGUUUAAUUCGAUGCAACGCGAAGAACCUUACCUACUCUUGACAUCCAGAGAACUUUCCAGAGAUGGAUUGGUGCCUUCGGGAACUCUGAGACAGGUGCUGCAUGGCUGUCGUCAGCUCGUGUUGUGAAAUGUUGGGUUAAGUCCCGCAACGAGCGCAACCCUUAUCCUUGUUUGCCAGCGAGUAAUGUCGGGAACUCCAGGGAGACUGCCGGUGAUAAACCGGAGGAAGGUGGGGACGACGUCAAGUCAUCAUGGCCCUUACGAGUAGGGCUACACACGUGCUACAAUGGCGCAUACAGAGGGCGGCCAACUUGCGAAAGUGAGCGAAUCCCAAAAAGUGCGUCGUAGUCCGGAUUGGAGUCUGCAACUCGACUCCAUGAAGUCGGAAUCGCUAGUAAUCGUGGAUCAGAAUGCCACGGUGAAUACGUUCCCGGGCCUUGUACACACCGCCCGUCACACCAUGGGAGUGGGCUGCAAAAGAAGUAGGUA
rnacentral:rRNA from 1 species